GGUUGCUUGGAGAGGAAGUAAAGGUGCGGCGUUGCUAGCUAGCCGAGAGAAAAGAAAAGGGGCUGGAAAGAAAGGCUUUGGGAGAGACAGGUGAUAGUAUAAAACGUCACGGAUGACAUAUUAGGUUGAGUGGAUGUACUAUAGAGGGUUGGUGGAGAUACUAUAGAGGCUUGUCGGAGGUACUGUAGAGGUUUGGUGGAGGUACUGUGGAGGUUGAGUUAUUGAGUCAAGAUUCUAUCAUGUUAUCCAAAUUAUUUUCGCCAUUGAAAUCUAGAGAAGGAGCCUAAGAACUGCUAGCUUGAACUGGAUUUAGGUUUCGAUGUAGAGUUGCUCUGUAUACUCUGGUUGAGAGGGCUGAAUUGGCUAGUUGUUUGUUGCAAAAUCUUUCAUUUUUCCACUGAUAAUGUUGGAACAAAUUAAGUAUAUGAUAAGUGUUGUCCGUUAAAUUGAGUACUCACUCAUGGUUGGGCUGCAGUUUUGAUAAGGGAUAUAGAUAUGAUAAUUGAGUACUCUUCUUUCUAUCAUACCUACCUCCCUUAUCAAAACUGUAGCCCAACCAUUAGUGAGUCAUUAAUUUGACGAACAACACUUAUCAUAUACAAAAUUUGUUACCAAUACUCAUCUCAGAUUUUAUGAUAAUUGUGGGAAAUAUAGUACACCUUUACCACUUUCCAAACUAUGGGUUAAACCUUUACUACACACAAACAUUCAUUUAAUUCUAGGCCUAAAUUUUUUGCUCACACUAGAUAGAGCAUUUCUGUUAACUAAAGACUAUGCCCUUUUCUUCACCACACUUAUUGUAUCCCCAAUAGUAUCUGAUUAUCCAUCUAUUGUUCAUAGAUUGUCAAUGUCCUCUCAAGAAUAGCUGUAAACUAGCAGCUCAAACAUGUGAACUUGCUUUUCAUUAAUAUCUAGAAAAUUAGAACUUAGCUGGUCAAGCCCUUUAUCCAACAUUAUCAUUGGAAAACUGAAAGAUUCUGCAACAAUCGACUAUCUAGUUCAGCCCUCUCAGCCAAAGCAUACAAAGCGACUCUAUAUUGAAACCUGAAUCUAGUUCAAGCUAGUAGUUCUCAAGCUCCUUCUCUAGAUUUCACAGGUGAAAAUAAUUUGGAUAACAUGGUGGAAUCUUGGCUUAACUCAACCUCUUACCUCCACUAAGCCUGUACAGUACCUCCACCAAUUCUCUACAAUACAUCCAAACAACCUAAUAUGUCAUCCAUGACGUUUUAUACUACCACCUGUCUCUCCCCAAGCCUUUCUUUUCAGCACCUUUUCUUUUCUCUCGGCCAGCUGACAACGUCACACCUUUACUUCCUCUCCAAGCAACCUCUCUUUCCUUGCUCCCCAAGCAACCCUGCUUUCUCCUAUUAAAAGACCUCACCUCCUCUUCUUCAAGCAAGUUGCAGCAAGUAUAAGCAGCGCAAGUUCCCCGCAAGUCCCAGUUCACUAAAUACUAGUUCUGUUGUAAAUUUUCUUCUAGGUGGCGUUGAGGUUGACCAUGAGAAGACUUUGAGCAAGAGGAACUUGAUGCUGUGAUUGAGCCCACGUGUCAAAGAAGAACGAAGGAGGAUGAAAAUGCUAGUGACCGGCGCUCAAGAGGGUAGAGAAAAAGAUGAUGAACAUGAAGAUGAAUAGUGAAUUCUUAGAGCCUAGCUUGCAUACUUGCGCCUUUAGGAGCCCUUUAUAUAGUGCUAGUUUUCCUCUGUGCAUGAUUGAAGAUCGAUUAUUCUGAUAUUGUAACAACUUUCCUAAAAUAAACCUACCAUUUCUGUGCUUUGCAAGGUA